rnacentral:hammerhead_ribozyme from 1 species
AUCCAUCUGACGAGUCCCUAAUAGAACUAAACGCAUGUCCUAGAU